rnacentral:lncRNA from 1 species
CUUAAGAAAAAUUUAUGAUAGCUGGAGCGUUCAUGAUUGAUAGAGACAACUAAAUCAUAGUUAUAAGACAUAUACAACCAAAGAAAUUACCAACGGGGGAACCCAUUACCUUAGACCUUAUUCCAACUGUCUACACAUCGAGCAUAGUUACUUUUCAGCUGUUAAUUACUUUCAGUCUUUGGUUGUUAGAAAAAUCAACCCUUGUGAAUCAAAUAGUUUGGGGAAAUAGAUUGUGUGAAUUUAGUAAAUCUAUAAUAGUAAUUGAUAGAUUAAUUCUCAAUGGUUUGACUCUGGGCACACAUACUUAGAUUAUAUUUGCAACGGCUGCGUAGUCUUUUGCGAGACUCAGUUGAGCGUGAUCUGUAGUCUUGGCUUUCAGCGGAUAAGAAUACGAAUUCAGAAUACAAGAGUAACAAGUAGGGAGGAUGGACAAAAAUUCCUAGAAUGAUCAUACAGCACAACUGGUCAAGUAGACUAGCAAAUUCAAGCCAGGUUCAUAUAGUCAAAGUACCAUAUAAAUAGUCAUCAUAGGAAUUAGGAGAAGAAAUAGGUUUCCUAACAUAGGUUGCAAUAGUUGGCAUUUAAGGGUCUGGAUUAAGUUAAGUCAAAUCUGAUUCCACAUUAAUUAAUACUUGGACAUAAUAGAGGGAUAAACAUAUUAGCAAUUACAGUAAAGAGAGAAUAGCAAAUGAACCAUAACAUACUGAAGACAUGUUAGCAUAAGAGUAAGUUCCUAGUUAUCAAAUAUAUUGUUUAUCUUUUAGAAAACCAGGAUAGCAUGAAACAAGCUUAGUACAGAUUUUUAGGCAGCAUUAAAGAGCAUUCUAAUAUACACAGGACUUAGUAAAAUGUUCAUUCAAGUGAAAAAAAAGGGAAAUAUCUAUAAAGUUAAGAUACUAUCUAAACACAAUAUGCAGAAACAACAUAUAACCACAAUAGUUAGACUCAUGUUGAAGUGAUCCAAAAUUAAACGUGUUAAGAUGCUACAAGGUACAGAAGCAGUCUUAGGAGAUAAGAGAUCACAUAAUGCAAAUCGCAGUGAAGCAUACGACACGCAGUAGACUGAUUACUCUAAGAAAGUUAUAGAUUAUGUUGAGUAUUAGUAAUAGCACAACAUUUAGACAUGAGAAGAGCAGAUUACCAUUACUGGUGAAACAAAGAUGAAGGUUAAAUAUGCUAAAUGGCAUGCAAAUAAAAAGCACGGUCAAAACAUGUUAGAUAAGCAAACAACCACAGAAAUCUAGAAUUGGUUUACCAUACAAUGAGUGUGUACGUUCAUGCUUUGCACUCAAUCCACUAGUCGACUGAAAGAAGUGCAAAUUAUGCAAGUAAGGCAUAUUCAAAUAAAAGACUAAAUUAAACAGAGAAAUAGCCCUAAACAGUAGUAAUUUUAACACAUUGACUAGUCAUAAUUCAAUAGAACCAGGCGAGCUUGAAACUAAAGCUAAAGAGACCUAAAGAGCAAACAGAAUUACACAUAAACGCAGCCCAGGAAAACAUAUUGAGUUGACUAACUUCAGGAAUGAAAACAUGUACAAACCAUAGAUGCUUAAGAAUGAAAUUGCAAAGUCUAGUAACUCAACAGUUAUGCGAAGAACAAUAAAGAAUAAUUCUUCACAGAAAACCCAGAGUUCAUAAUGAGUCAAAGUUCCUAAGAGCUUCGGUGAACUCAGGGCAUUGCUCGCACUAGGAACGAGUUUAAGAUGUUAAUGGCCUUAGCUUUCAGCUGGCCAGUACAGAAUAACAAGUAAGAGAAUAGCAAAACCUCACAUUUUAGUAAAGGAUCGAUUUCCAAAACUGUCACAAAAGGAAAAAUGAGGAGGUUUAUAUAGUAGUUAAAAAUCUGGCAAACAUAUAAGGACAUAAAGUAAAAUAAACAGUAAACAAGGAAAGAAAACAUGCAAAUCAAUUUAAAAUCGAUUUAAAAGAGAAACCCGGUAAACCCUAGUUUUUUUGGAAAGUGUAAAUCAUAGAAAUCCAAACGAAAUCAGACUCACAUAAUACAUAAUCAAAGGCGUGUAACGAAAUAUAGUGCCGAUUCAAGAAAUAAAUCUCAUUUAGACAGAACUAGAGAGGUAGUACUUGCCAUAUUUAGGCAAGUGCUAGGUGAUACCAUGGAGAAUCAAUCAGUAGAGGUAACACGCAAAUAUGGUAAGUAAAUAAGAGGGAAAUAAAUAAGAGGGAAAUCCCAUUGUAGCCGGGGUUACAAGAAGAUUUUAAGAGGGCGAUGAUUAGGGUUUUUGGUGGAGGAGGAGCAUUUGAGGGCGGCUAGUCAGAGAUACUGGUCUUUAUGGGUUAAGGGUUAGGUUAUAAGAGAGGAGGGGUUGAG